UACGUAGGGUGCGAGCGUUGUCCGGAAUUAUUGGGCGUAAAGAGCUCGUAGGCGGUUUGUCACGUCUGCUGUGAAAUCCCGAGGCUCAACCUCGGGCCUGCAGUGGGUACGGGCAGUCUGGAGUGCGGUAGGGGAGAAUGGAAUUCCUGGUGUAGCGGUGGAAUGCGCAGAUAUCAGGAGGAACACCGAUGGCGAAGGCAGUUCUCUGGGCCGUAACUGACGCUGAGGAGCGAAAGCGUGGGGAGCGAACAGG
rnacentral:rRNA from 1 species